CCCAGGUCCACCAGCUCAGCAGUCACUUCAACAUCUUUGCCUUCUCCCUGAAGAAGCCCAGUGCCGACUGACAGGAAGAGGAGCGAAUCGGCUUGACGGCAGCGGAGGUUUAGACCCUCCCACCUCCAUCUGAAGCCAACCGACACUUCACUCUCAUCACCACCUCCCUCCCUCCCCCACCAAACCACACACACACCCCCCACUAGCCCCCCUCCUGGACAGUGUCAGUUUGGGGGGGGGGUGGUCCUCAGGACUUGAGAGGCCAAACCCCGGGCUCUGGGUUCCGUGGCUGUUGAUAGGUUGAGCCGAUGAGCCAAUGAGAUGUUGUUUCCUACGGAAAUGUUCUUCAGCCGACAGGACAGGUUCCCAGACCCCGUCCCCACAUGCGCACACACACACACACACACACACACACACACACACAGCUUACAGACACAUCACACUUGACACUUUACUCUUGAACGGUUUAAACACACAACAACACACUCACCCACAUGUAUACUCUUAUGAAUGUACAGGAUGUUAUUGCCUUGGGGAAAUGAUGUCUCGGUUAGUUUGACAGACUGCCCCACUCCUGACCUCUCAACCCUGCAGUCUGCCCGUCAGUCGCCGCGUGCCCAUUUUAUCCAGGGUAUGGAAGGCGGAGUCUAAGCUAGGAUCUGGUAUUUGAUUUGAACGACUGAGAGUCUUUAUAUGGGAACUUUAUUAUUAUUAUUAUUAUUGGGCUUUUUAUUUAGAAAGAAAUUUGAAGAAAUUGAUGGUUAAUGUAAUGGUUAUCUGACCCUUGGUGAUGAUGGUUACCCGUGUUGACUGUGAGGCUGGAUCUGGCCAAUCAGGGCACUUUGGGAGAGGGACAGAGGGUGAAAACACCCAAUCACGGACCUCGCUCAACGUGGGCUCCAGAAUGACCCCUGACCUGUGAACAAUAGUGACCCCUGACCUCUGCAGCCAGAACUAUGACCUCCAGACUCUUCCCACCUCUGAGGUGUCGUCGUGGCAACAGGCCGAUUCGCAGUCAAGUUUUUAAUUUUUUUUUAUUUGCUCUGUGUUCCUUCAUCUCUGAUAGCUGGGGAUGUGUGUUUGUGUGUGUGAGCCUGCGUGCGUUUGCUACCAAUGAAUGAAGAGUGCGUCUGAAAGCCGUCAGUGGAUUAGGCGUACUCUGAGGGUAUUGGCGGCCACAGGAGAAACCAUGACGACCACGACCACACCCCCAACAACUGUCUGUUAGUCUACCACCUGGUGUACACCUGUCUCUGUCUGUCUGUCUUAUGGCGUCCUAAAUGACACCCUAUUUUUCAUCAUAAUGUGCACUCUUAAGGAGUCUAGGUAGUAGAAGUGCACUACAUGGGGAAUAGGGCACCUAUUGUUUGUUUAACACUGGUUCAAUUAGUUCAGAUGUCAUUUAGACCAAAGGAGGUAUCCUGAUUGGCCUUUAGUGACAUCACAACAAUGACGCCAUAGAUAUGUUAACUGGAGGUGUGUGCGCGUGUGUGUGUGUGAGUGUGUGCGUGUGCUUGUUUGUGAGUGUGUACAUGUACAUUUGUUUGGAUGUUAAAUUAAUGUCUGUAUAAAUAUAUCAUUAUUUUCUUUUGUUUUUUUUUAAGUAAAACUUUAAAUAAUGGAGAUGUGAAUCUGGAACUCCUCUGAACGGGACCAGGUUGGGACGAGAUCAUGUGAACUGGCCUUGUUUCCAUGAUAGGGCGCUACCAAUGAUGUGAACUCUGUCAGCCAUGUGUCUUUGGCCUAAAGUAGUCCUCCUUGUAAAGAUACCGGCCCAAUGUCUCGGUACUGGUUAUCCUCUAUGUAGAGAAACUGGCCCAGUGUCUCUGUACCGGUUAUCCUCUAUGUAGAGAUACCGGGCCAGUGUCUCGGUACCGGUUAUCCUCCCUCACUGGAGACAGAUGGGUCCAAGUGCCCUGGAUCAAUCUGCUCGGAGUCUGUCUGUAGAGUUCUUUAUUGUAAUAGAAGCCUCUGAGUCUGUCAUAGGAUGUGGUUACUAAACACAUUGAUAAUGAUUUUGUGUUGAAUGUGUAAAAAAGCAAAACAAAGGCCUGUUUAAAUUAAUAAAGUUGAUUUUUGUUGAUCCAUUCUACCAGAACACACAGCUUUCCAGUACUGUACCACUAGAGAAGUAGUGUUUCC
ensembl:lncRNA